rnacentral:tRNA from 1 species
GCCUUUGUGGUGUAAUGGUUAGCACACUCGGCGCGUAUUCGAGAGGUCCAGGUUCGAGUCCCGGCGAGGGAA